GUGGGGAAUAUUGGACAAUGGGCGAAAGCCUGAUCCAGCCAUGCCGCGUGUGUGAAGAAGGUCUUCGGAUUGUAAAGCACUUUAAGUUGGGAGGAAGGGCUGUAAGCUAAUAUCUUGCAGCUUUGACGUUACCAACAGAAUAAGCACCGGCUAACUCUGUGCCAGCAGCCGCGGUAAUACAGAGGGUGCAAGCGUUAAUCGGAAUUACUGGGCGUAAAGCGCGCGUAGGUGGUUUGAUAAGUUGGAUGUGAAAUCCCCGAGCUCAACUUGGGAACUGCAUCCAAAACUGUCUAACUAGAGUACGGUAGAGGGUGGUGGAAUUUCCUGUGUAGCGGUGAAAUGCGUAGAUAUAGGAAGGAACACCAGUGGCGAAGGCGACCACCUGGACUGAUACUGACACUGAGGUGCGAAAGCGUGGGGAGCAAACAGGAUUAGAUACCCCUGUAGUCC
rnacentral:rRNA from 1 species